GCCUCUGUGGCGCAGUGGUAGUACGCUUGUCUGCGACACAGGAGGCCCCGAGUUCGAAUCCCGGCUAGGGCA
rnacentral:tRNA from 1 species